UACGUAGGGAGCAAGCGUUAUCCGGAUUUAUUGGGUGUAAAGGGUGCGUAGACGGGUAUGCAAGUUAGUAGUGAAAAACCCAGGCUCAACUUGGGAGGUGCUACUAAAACUACAUAUCUUGAGUACUGGAGGGGAAAGUGGAAUUCCUAGUGUAGCGGUGAAAUGCGUAGAUAUUAGGAAGAACACCGGUGGCGAAGGCGACUUUCUGGACAGUAACUGACGUUGAGGCACGAAAGUGUGGGGAG
rnacentral:rRNA from 1 species